CGAUGAAACCUAGAAAUCGAUCACUGGUCGAAUUUGAGUACCUAUGCAGGAUAGACCUCAACAGAAAACUGAAGAGUAACGGCAGCAAGUGAUUGAGUUCAGUAGUUCCUCAUAUAAAAUUAUUGACUCUAGAGAUAUAGUAAUAUGGAGAAGACAAAAUUGUUUCAAGCACCGACAGAACCGGUAGCGCCCCUUCUUUCAAAGAGAGGAGAACGGGUUAUCCACAUUUCAUUUGAUGGUCAGAGGCGAAUUGAAAGUUAAGCAGUGGGAAUUCUAAAGAUUCCCCGG
rnacentral:lncRNA from 1 species